rnacentral:rRNA from 1 species
GCUACUCUGGUGACGAGCGGCGGACGGGUGAGUAGUGCUUGGGAACAUGCCUUGAGGUGGGGGACAACAGUUGGAAACGACUGCUAAUACCGCAUAGUGUCUACGGACCAAAGGGGGCUUCGGCUCUCGCCUUUAUAUUGGCCCAAGUGGGAUUAUCUAUUUGGUGAGGUAAUGGCUCACCAAGGCGACGAUCCCUAUCUGGUUUGAGAGGAUGAUCACCCACACUGGGACUGAGACACGGCCCAGACUCCUACGGGAGGCAGCAGUGGGGAAUAUUGCACAAUGGGCGCAAGCCUGAUGCACCCAUGCCGCGUGUGUGAAAAAGGCCUUCGGGUUGUAAAGCACUUUCAGUCAGGAGGAAAGGUUAGUAGUUAAUACCUGCUAUCUGUGACGUUACUGACAGAAAAAGCACCGGCUAACUCCGUGCCAGCAGCCGCGGUAAUACGGAGGGUGCGAGCGUUAAUCGGAAUUACUGGGCGUAAAGCGUACGCAGGCGGUUUGUUAAGCGAGAUGUGAAAGCCCCGGGCUCAACCUGGGAACUGCAUUUCGAACUGGCAAACUAGAGUGUGAUAGAGGGUGGUAGAAUUUCAGGUGUAGCGGUGAUGUGCGUAGA